AACACAUUAGAGUGAAUGUAUAUGAAAAGCAUAAGAACUGUUUUGCUUUCCUUCUGCCAACUGGUAACUUACAACUUCUGCCACUCAAUACCAUCUACCAGGGUCCCUGUGGAAACCUAAUGCUGCUGCUGUGAGAAGACUCCUAAUUCAUCAUCAGGAUGCACAAGGUUCCUCGCCUUCCCUUUGGUGCCAACGUUCAGCAAAAAAAGGAAAGGAAAAGAUCAAACAUGGAAGGAACAGAAAAUAGUGGAGUUGCUGUUGCUGCCGCCGCCUAUGUCUAGGAUAGACAAAUGAGCAUGAGGCAAAAAAAAUGGAGAAACUUCAGCCAAAAAGAAACAAGAAUGAUGUCUUCCCCAUUGCUUCUGGAAGCCAUUCAUUUGGUAUUUACGUUCAUCAGAACAUCACAGAGAAAGAACACAAAGAGCUACUGAUGCCUACUGCCACUUAACACAUAUAUCUUCAGAACACUUGGUGGCCAUCUCACUUUGACCUUUUCCUUACUAGCUUGUGAGAAACUCAAUCUACUGCAUCUGUGGAAUUUAUUGAUGGAGGGCCCUCAUAAUCAAGCUACCCACCAAGGAAAUCUCAUCAGUAACA